rfam:Arabidopsis thaliana chromosome 5, complete sequence.
AGAUAAGAUCAUAGCAGCACUAAUACACCGGAUCCCAUCAGAACUCCGCAGUUAAGCGGGCUUGGGCGAGAGUAGUACUAGGAUGGGUGACCUCCCGGGAAGUCUUUGUGUUGCAUCAC